rnacentral:misc_RNA from 1 species
GAAAUGCGAUACGUAAUGUGAAUUGCAGAAUUCAGUGAAUCAUCGAAUCUUUGAACGCAUAUUGCGCUUUCUGGUAUUCCGGAGAGCAUGCCUGUUUGAGUACCUUUUCAAUCUCAAAAAACGAAUUAGUUUUCAAUUUUUGGAGAUGAGUUAUGUCCCUUCUUUUGUAGAGGAGACUGACUUGAAAAGGACAUCCAAAGAGAAGCACUAAGACUUCUAAGAGGAACAGUAAUUGAAUGAGUCUUACUCAGCCUUUACUCAGUACUCCUUUAGAUACGUCUGACGGCUUACUUUAAAUCUUUGGAGUAACCCCCAAUUCAUUGUGAGCAAUCACAGAACAUUGGUCUCAAAUCAGGUAGGAAGACCCGCUGAACUUAA